rnacentral:rRNA from 1 species
UACGGAGGUUGCAAGCGCUAUCCGGAUUCAUUGGGUUUAAAGGGUGCGUAGGCGGGACGGUAAGUCAGUGGUGAAAGCCUGCAGCUUAACUGUAGAAUUGCCAUUGAUACUGCUGUUCUUGAGUGCAGCUGAGGUGGGUGGAAUGUGUAGUGUAGCGGUGAAAUGCUUAGAUAUUACACAGAACACCGAUUGCGAAGGCAGCUCACUAAACUGUAACUGACGAUGAGGCACGAAAGCGUGGGGAGCAAACAGG